AUAUAAGGCACCAGCUGGCCUGGAUCUUGUCCUUUUGUUGCAGUGAAGCUGUUGGCUGGCUGCAGAGGACUUGACUCAAGACUUUGGUCAUGUUCCAGAGUUAAAGAACUGCACCUGUUUGCACAACUCAGGAAGAUUUAAGAGACUCAUAUACUCAAACUUUACCGCCAAAGAUGCUUCCUUUGUGGAGCCCUUCAACUAGAGGAGCCCUGAUUGGCUCUUUGUACCCAACUGUAUGAUUGUGACCACCUCACAAGGUCAGAAUGGGCUAGAUGAUGAGACUAUGUUUGGAAAAAGAUCAAAUAACAGGCGAGUCUGCUGAAAAGCUUGUGUGGUUCGCUGGAAACCCUGAAGAACAGCAGGUGACCUCUUGUCAGCUACCUGUGUGUGAACACCACAGAAUGGCAACUCUUAGCUUUGUAUGGGAACCUUUCCCAUAGGGACUCAGUACUGUGGACCCUAUGGGUUAUUUCUAUUAGAUGUUGACACAUCAGAACUACAUAUGAACCUGGAGGAGUGUUAUACUCUUCAUAGUUGGAUGAAAAUUUCCAGGCCUUAACUGGAAAUUCAUUUCCUUGAUUAAAUGUUCACUUGAUUUUCA